rnacentral:lncRNA from 1 species
UUACAGGAGGUAUGUUCAGUACCGAUUCUUAUAGUACUGUUCGGGGCGUGGAUAAGCUAAUUCCUGUGGAUGUCUAUUUGCCAGGCUGUCCACCUAAACCGGAAGCUGUUAUAGAUGCUAUAGCAAAACUUCGUAAGAAAAUAUCUCGAGAAAUCGAUGAAGAUCCAAUUAGUUAUCAACGAGAGAAUAGGUCUUUUACUACCAACCACAAAUUUUAUGUUGGACGCAGUACUCAUACCGGCAAUUCUAAAUGAGCAAAUGCCCGAACCAAAAUAUGUUAUUGCUAUGGGAGCCUGUACAAUUACAGGAGGUAUGUUCAGUACCGAUUCUUAUAGUACUGUUCGGGGCGUGGAUAAGCUAAUUCCUGUGGAUGUCUAUUUACCAGGCUGUCCACCUAAACCGGAAGCUGUUAUAGAUGCUAUAACAAAACUUCGUAAGAAAAUAUCUCGAGAAAUCGAUGAAGAUCCAAUUAGUUAUCAACGAGAGAAUAGGUCUUUUACUACCAACCACGAAUUUUAUGUUGGACGCAGUACUCAUACCGGCAAUUCUAAUCAAGGAUUAUUCUAUCAACCAUCAUCUAUUUCAGAGAUGACCUCUGACACAUUUUUGAAAUAUAAAAAAGUUCAGUAUCCUGCGACGAUCGAAAAAGUGAAUUAAAUAGCAUCCUUUUGUACAAAAUACAAUAAGAAAUAGCAAGCAAGUCAAUCUUAAAAAAUUUCAUUGUAAUGUAAAUAAAUGGUAAAUACUUAUACCAAUCUGAUAAAAAACUUGGGAGAAGUCAAAAAAUGCAAGGUAAUUUGUCUGCUUCGCUAGUCAAACACGGAAUAGUUCAUAGAUCUUUGGGUUUUGAUUACCAAGGAAUAGAGACUUUACAAAUAAAGCCCGAGGAUUGGCAUUAUCUAAUCAAGGAUUAUUCUAUCAACCAUCAUCUAUUUCAGAGAUGACCUCUGACACAUUUUUGAAAUAUAAAAAAGUUCAGUAUCCUGCGACGAACGAAAAAGUGAAUUAAAUAGCAUC